rnacentral:rRNA from 1 species
UACAGAGGGGCAAGCGUUGUUCGGAAUUACUGGGCGUAAAGGGCGCGUAGGCGGCCUGCUAAGUCGAACGUGAAAUCCCUGGGCUCAACCCAGGAACUGCGUCCGAUACUGGUUGGCUUGAAUCCGGGAGAGGGAAGUGGAAUUCCCGGUGUAGUGGUGAAAUGCGUAGAUAUCGGGAGGAACACCAGUGGCGAAGGCGGCUCUCUGGGACGGUACUGACGCUGAGACGCGAAAGCGUGGGGAGCGAACAGG